UUUAAAGGAGAGAGAGUAUCAAAAGAUCAGCACGUUGCCUGCAUAGAAGCCAAAAAGAGGGGAGAAAUACAGCCACACACACGCACGCACACGCACGUUAGGGCCCGUAUAGAGCAAGCCCUGGGGACUCGAACGACAGCAAUCUGCAAAUAGCUGAGCUGGUUUCCCCCGGCGCCCCGGCUCCGGCUCUCCCAGAGCCCCGGGGCACACGCGCGUGCAUGGGACAGACUCGCUUUAGAGUUGGGGAGCGCUAGGCUACAGAAGACAAAGUAGCGCUUCUGACCCGGGGAGGGUCUCGCUGAUCGCACGUGUGUGCGAUCUCGGGCGUUUGGAUGCUAGUCUUGUUCAGCUAACCGGCUGCUGAGCCUUCCCCCGGUCACGUAGCAAAGACCGUGACUCAGCGCUGACUCACUGAAUUCCCUGCCAAUGGAUUUCCCCCGGCAGUCAGCUGCUCCAUCUCAGCCUAUCCUGGAAAAAGACAAAGACUUCUCGGUUGCUUUGUAGCUCAGAGCUCGGUUGCUAGUCCCUUGGUCAUCUCUGCCUUAGCAACAUAGCAGCUCGAGGAUUUCACGGCCAUUCCACCCCCAACAAGUAAUGGAUUGACUUUGCGCUAUUUUCUUUGCAAAGUCUUGUUUUAGCGAGGGAGCUAAAUGAGCCCAUUAGUCAAAAUUCCUUCGUCACAAGCCGCUUUAAUAAAUCAAGGACUUCUUUGACAAGGACUUGUUCAUAACCCCAGUGCACACUUGGUUUCCUGCCGCACUAAAAACCCUCAUCUUGUUUUAGUCCUGCAUUUUAGGAGGUUGUGUGCAAUGAGUUUGAUAACGAACCCUGGCACAUAAUGAUGAUUAUAAUGACGCAAAUGAGGUUUGCACUUGGCAUCGUGCACUGGCACGAGUGACUUACAGUAAAAGUCAGGAACGCUUUUGGAAGGACGAGCUGCAAUGUCACCCUCUGAAUUUUGGACAUGGAGAACAGCUGUGUAUCAUUGGUGGAUGAGGACUCUGCUGUAUUAAGUUACAUGAGUCUUAAAGGCAAAAUGCUGAUUGCUCUGAAGUAGUAUUUUCUAAAACCGACUUUGCAAUAUAUUUGCUUUCAUUUCCUGUGUAAGGCAAUCACUAAGCUUAAUUUGUUUGUGCAUAAUGUUGUGUUUGCUUUAAAUGGAUAUCAAUGUAUCCAGGUUUGGUAAUUGGUACUUUUGGAGAAAUGGAAGGUGAUGCUCCCAUCGGGAUUUUCUCCUCUAAUCACUAUAACAUAUUCAUUAAUUAAAAAGUAGUUGGCAAUAGCGGUUGGUUUGGAGCCAGGGAAACCCGAGUUCAAAUCUAUCUUAAGACUAGCUAUAUGACUUUGAGCAAGUUAUUUAAAUUCCGUUUUCCUUAGUUUUCUUUUAUGUAAAAUGGGUAUAAUAACAGCAUCUACUUUCCAGGAUUGUUGAGGGGAUCAAAUGAUGUAAUAUUUUUAAAGUCCUUAACAGUACCUAGCACAUAGUAGAAACUGUACAAAUGCUAGCUAUUAUUAUUAUUACCUGCUACUGAGAAUAUUUUACCUCUCUCUAUGCAAUGUUUCUUUAAAAAUCAUUAUUUCUAAAGUUAAACUGAUAAGAUCUUAUUAACAGAGAGCAGAAAAAAUAAUUAAGUUGAUCUACAGGUAUAUAUUUCCAGAAAGCAAAUGAAUUGAAAAGAAAAAUGAAAAGGCUAUGGAUAUUUAAAAUACCUUUUUUAAUAGAGCGAGGCAAAAGGAAAUUUUCAUAACACAUUUAUGUUUGAGUUUGUUUUGUAAAUUAUCUUUGUUUUUUGUGGAUAUUUAACACUCUAAAUAUUUUUAGCUGGAAGUUUUUCUUCUGAAUAUUCGAACAAGUUGGAAGAGUGUUGGCCCAGAUGUGAGAAAAUUCCACUGAUGAUAGUGGAGUUGGGCAGGCAGCAAAAGUAGCAAAUGAGAGAUAUUUUUUCAGUCCAAAUCCAAAUUAACUGGACUCAUAGAAUCUGUCCCCUGAGAGAAAAAGAUAUAGAGAUAAGGUUCAAAAGAACAUGAAGUAGAAGAGUAUCUGGGAGAAAAGGCAGUCACUAAUAGAAGUGAAGAGUAUUUUAAAAAUCUAAAUGAACUUGCUCACUUUGAUACUUUAGAAAAAUGUUAUUUCAUUGUUAUUAGGUAUCGAUUCACAGAUGCCAAUUGUUACUCUUCCAUCUUUUUCAUCCUAUGUGAUUUUUGUACUUUUCCCUCCCUGAGAUAUCCUCCAUAGAGAAAAUCAGCUUAGUUGCCGAAGGUCUUAAUCUAAAAUUUCUUUAGAUCAUUGGGUCCUUAUCAUUAAGGUAUCCUUAAUCCUCCACAUAGUGGCCAAAUUAAUCAUUCUGAAAUGAAAAUUUGACAAAAUUCCCAGCCAGACAUUUAGAAUCCACAAUAAUCUACCUUUGCAAUCUUCUUUCAUGUUAUUCCCUUUCAUGUACUUCCCUUAUAAUCAAAUCGACUUGCUAGCCUUUUUCCCUACAUUACACUCCAUCCCCUACCUCCUAUCCAAGUACAAGUUGUACAAGUUGUCUCUCAGUCUGUAAUGUAUUCCCUUUUUAUUCCCUCUUGGAUUCCCUACCUUUCAUCAAAACUCAGCUCAGGUACCACCUCCUACAUUAUUCUUUCCUGAUUCUGACAUCCAAGUUGUUCUCUCCCUUGAAAUUACUAUGUACUGCUUUGUAUUUCUUUUAUAUUUCCUGACAUGUAUAAGCUAAUUUGGGCAGAGAGGUGAUAAGGUUCUGGGCCUAGAGUCAGCAAGACCUGAAUUCUAAUGUGACCUCACACACUUAAUAGUUGUGUGACCCUGGGCAAAUCACUUUACUUCAGUUGCUCAUCUGGCAAGAGAGCUGGAGAAGAAAAUGGCAAACCACUCCAAUAUCUUUGCCUAGAAAACUCCAAAUGGGAUCACAAAGAGUUGGACACAACUGAAAACAACUGAACAUGUUGUUAUGUGACAUGAAUAAAGAACUUAUUUAGACAGCUCCUCAUAAAUACAUACAUACAUACACACAUACAUAUAUCUUUCAUCUCUCCUAUAUAAAUACACAGUGUUUAAAACUGCCAAAUACAGACUAUUCAAUAAAUUAUUCUUGAGUUGGAGAUACUGACUAAAUAUUGAAGGAAGAAGAGAGGCAGUGAUAGAUCUAGUUCUUAAUGCAAAAACUCCCUCCACCAAUGUUGAUCAGCUGUUGUUUUUUUAUUUAAAAAUCUUAGAGAAUUAUUUGAAGCACUAUUGUGUUUAGUCACUUGGCCAAGGAUGUGCCAGGGCAAACUUCAUAGCACUUGAAGUCAAAUCAUUCAUAAUUCACAAACAAUUCUUUACAAUGCCACAGCUGCCUCUUUAAAUGAUUUUUUACCAUUUUGAGAUUUCAGAUGCAAACUAAAACUCUGCCAUCAAAUAUUUUUACAACAAAAUUUAAACUCUAAUUAUGAAAUAGAAAAACAAAAUCAAUUACAAAAAAUAUCAUCUGCUACUGGGAAAUGAAUAUAAACUGCUUGCAUUUUUGUUUUUCUUCCCGUGUUAUUUAUACCUUCUGAAUUCAAUUCUCCCUGUGCAACAAGAAAACCGUUUCGUUCUGCACACAUAUAUUGUAUCUAGGAUAUACUGCAACCCAUUCAACAUGUAAAGGACUGCUUGCCAUCUGGGGAAGAGGUGGAGGGAGGGAGGGGAAAAAUCGGAACAGAAGUGAAUGCAAGGGAUAAUGCUGUAAAAAAUUACCCUGGCAUGCGUUCUAUCAAUAAAAAGUUAUUUAAAAAAAAUAUCAUCUGCUGUUUGAAACAAAAGCUGUAGUGAAGGGACAAGUUGAGAUGGGAAAGGAUCUAGGUUCUUAUAUGAUCUAUGACUAGAGAAGAAUGAGAGUAGCGCCAGGAGAGUUGGGUAAGGUGAUUUACAAAUUGGUACCAUCUGUGACUACCUAAUGGCAGCAUCAAGAUGGUAGAGUAACUGAUUACUAGACUUUACACAAACUAUAUUUCCAGGAAAUUAAUCUUACCUUCUUCAAGGGUUAAAAAAAAGUUCCUCUGGAUGAUUUUAGCUGUGUUUUCUAGCUCUUAGCAAAGUUCUAUGCUUCAAAGCUAUUACCAUCCGCCCUCCUUUUUUUUUCUAAUCAAGCCAAACUGCUAAAAGUUAGAAAAGAAACAUUUGUUAAGCACCCAUUAUGUGUCAGCAAUUUUGCUGUGUUCUGGGGAUAUAGAAACAAAAAUGAAAAAGUUAAGAGAUUAUGGGGACAGGAUUGGGAUUGGGGUGAGGGGAGAUUCCAAAUACAAAAAAAAAAAAAAAAAAAAAAAAAAACUACAAAUCAAUUUGGGAAUCUGGAAAGCUCUCCUGUAAGGAGUAGCAGUUGAGAUAAUGCUAGAAGGGACCAUAGAAUUUCCCAGAGCCAGUGGUGAGAAGAGAGAGCAUCUCAUUCUAGAAGAUAGGAGAUAAAAUAUUUUGCCAGGAAUGUUAAAUAAAUUAUUUUGGCAUGAGAAAGAGAAAUGUCAAAUUAGUCUAGAAAGAUAGGUUGGAGUCAGAUUGUGAAGAGUAUUAAAUGCCAAAAAAAAAAAGAGUUUUCAUUUUUCCUAGAGACAGUGAGGAGGGAGUCACUGAAACUUCUUGAGCAGAUUCUUAUAGACUCAAAUUGUCUUCAUAUUGACUCUCUCUCUCUCUCUCUCUUACAGUGUUUCUGUGAUGUUUGAUAAUUGAGUAGAUUAAGGAAAGGUAUUUCUGUUUCUAAUUGGAGAUAGGGUACCAAGGGACUCACUGGACAUUCAGAAGUAGAAGUUUUUUUUUGGUUUGGGGGGGUUUUGUUUUUGUUUUGUAGUGUUGCUUUCAGUUUUUUCAGUUCAGUCAACCCUUGGUGACUCCAUUUGGACUUUUCUUGACAGAUAAUGAAAUUCUAGAGUGGUUGGCCAUUUCCUUUUCUAGCUCAUUUGACAGAUGAGGAGCUGAAGCAAGCAGGGUUAAAUGAUUUGCCCAGAAUCACCCAACUAAUAAGGUUCUAAGGUCGGAUUUGAACUCAGGAAGAUAAGUCUUUUUGACUGGAGAUCCAGAACUCUAUUCACUGUACUACCUAACUGCCCAAGAAGUUAGACUUCUCAUUUGGCAAAAAGUUGGUUUCAUCCCAUAGGUACAAUAAUUAACCUACAGUAGAAACUAUGUCAGUUAGUCAACAAGUAUUUUAUGUGUAUCAGAGAAACUGCUAAACAUUGUGGAUACAAUGAAAAGGGGGAAAAAAUUUAGUCACGGCAGUCAAGUAGCUUACAUCAUAAUGGUAGAGACACAUGUAAACAACUCUGCAUACAAGAUAGAUGCAGACAGAAAGCACUUAGAGACAGGAAAACAUUAGCAGCUGCACGAGACUGAACCUCCUUUCCUUAAGAUUUGAACUGAGGCUUGAAAGAAGUCAGGAAAACUGAAAAGCAGGGAGAGAGAGAAAGAAAAUCCUUCUAGGCAUGGGGCUCAGCUCCUGGGAAUGCUAUUUUUUCUUUUUACCAUAGAAUAUUUUUGUUCUUUUUUUCCUUUUGAUUCCAAGACCACAAUUUUUUAAACCUAACAUUCAUAUCAUUCCCAAAACAGACUCAGGUCAUUGUUCUGGCUUCAUGGACCUUUUUCUUUUGGAGUUUGCAUCUUGGUUUAAGCAACCACCCUCAGAAUCUUUCUCUUUUCUUUAUGUCUGAUGGUCAAAACCAUUUUUAGGAGUCAAGAUAAUAUCUGCCUAUUUCACUCCCUCUCCUACCCUGCCUUCCCUUUCCCCUCCCCCCUCCCAUGGCUACCUUAGCUAAAAAAAACAAAGGUCCUCAGCAAGGGUCUCUGCUUAAAGCUCUCUGCUGCCCCCGACUGGAUCCUGGCUGCUAUAGCUUUCAUGGCCCCUUAAGUUCUGGGUUCCUUUCAGGAUACAAUAGUCUUAGAGUACUAUUCCUGUGAAGUUAUUCACUAAAAUACUCCUGCUUGGAAACAGGAUUGAUAAUAAUGAGGUGAGACUGCAUUAGACUGGAAAAAAUAUACAUGCACAUAUUUUUGGAGUGAGGAGCUGGAAUUUGCAGGGGCAGGCUAAAUAAUUUGUCAAUCCUUAAUAACCCACUCUAGCCAGUAAAUAGAAUGUACUGAGCUCUCCAAGACAGGGGUUGGAUUGAUCUACCUGUAACAAAAUUCCUACCUUUUAAGAAGGUAGUUUCAUUAUUUAAAUAUAAAAGAACAAGAAAACCAAAGUAAGACAUUCCUAUUUAACCAUCUAUUCUAAAGACAAGUGUUUUAAAAGAUAGUGGUCUCUACAACUUUUCACAGGACUUGUUUUCUUACUAAAAUAUUACUGUGUGACAUUAGUCUUCCUAUUUAUAGAACAGUUCAAUGACUCAUUUUGUGCAUUUAAAGAGUUUAAUGAGGAUUUCCAGGUCUGUAAGAGCUGUGGGUCCCAUUAAUAGCUCCUUCACAUUAGGUUAUACUCUUUUCUGAUAGUACUGAUAUUCCAAUGAUUUUGUUAUAAUUCCAUCUUGUGGAUAGCAUUGAUGUUAUGUUAAAAAAUAAAAUUUGUUCUUUAGUCUCUUGGGAUCUUCAUUGACCUAAGAUUUAUGUCCUAAUAUCCUUUGACUAGCCAAAAAAAAAGGCUAGUGGUAUUAUUUGGUGCAAAUAAUAAAUUCCUCAAUUGUAACCCAUCGAGAGGAAGGAAAGAAUAUAAUUUUAUUUCUUUUACUCUAAAAUUAUGCUCAUUAAAAAUGUUUGCGGAAGAUUCCAGUAUCUCUACCUAGAACAGAGAUGUUACUGGUACAUUUACUAUCACAUAAUAUCCUAUAGAAUUUAUUCUGUUUUGAGAAGUAUUGUAUGCUUAAUCCAAUUUUUAAAGUUCCUAUGGACAGUUGAGUUCUUUGAAAAUAGACCCAUUUCCCAUUCAAACUCUAUUAAUCUUCUGUCCCAUGCAAACAACAGGUGCUUUAGAAAAUAGCCAAUAGAGAGACAAUAAUUCUUGUCCUUCAGGACCAGUGCCAAUGGAAAAAAGUGACCUGAAGUGCAGAUCUCAGGCCUGACAUGAUGAAAAUCUAAUGCCACAGCUGUUUUCUCUCAGAACUGUCACUCAUCAUGUUUUAAUUUCACAGUUUUGAAUUAAUCUUUUCUAAAUACGGCACCAGAGGGAGGUGGACGAGAUAGCAGUUCCCAGCAAAGGAAUGAGGCCACUAUUUGCAAAGUUCCUGCUCUCUCUUGCUGUCUCUUCUCCUACCCCUAGACUCUCUUGCCCUGCCAUUUUGAAUUUUAUUUUUUGGGAUCUUUGUGGUCUUGUAAUACUUUUGUUUAUAUUUGUACAGGGCAGAGGUCUAAACAAGCUCAAAAGCCUAAUUGUUUUGAAGGAUUGCUGAUUCAACUUCCUUCUUAUGCCAUCUCAGGAUAUAUUCUUAGAUUUUUCUAUCUUUGAUUACCUAAUAAAAGAUACAUUUGGUAAAAAAAAAAAAAAUGGUUCAAAAUUUGUUAGCAUUGUAUUUAUCUAGGCUUAUAUAUUUCAGUUUUUGCAGGCCACAGGUAUAGAUUAUAGAAUUUUAGAGCUACAAAGAACAUAAAAGUUCACCUAUUUCAGCCCCUCCAGUCACUUCAAUCAACAAGUAUUAGACAUUUACUUUGUGCCAGGCACGGUGCUAAGUAAUCACUGGGGAAUCAAGGAAAGGGAGAAACAGUCCUUGCCCUUCGAAGAGCUUACAUUCUAAUGGGGAGAGACAAGAUGAAAAUAAAUAGAUAUAUAACAGGAACAUGCAGAACUGAUGAGAAAAGUGGGCGUCAGAGAGCUUGAGCAAUUUUCAAAUGUCAUAGUCACCAAGUGGUAGAAUUGGGGUUAUCUACAACCUAUGCUUUCUCAUGAAACUAUCUUUUUUGUACCUGAUAUUUCUAAAGUAUUAUGUUACCACUUAUAUAUUUCUGAGUCAGUUGGAAUUAGAUUAAAUUCAUUGGAGAGAUUGUGCCACAUGUGGUCAUUUAUACAGUGCCUCAAAUAUCCAAUUUCUAUUUUUAAAAAAUGAUACCAUGUUCUUCUUUUCAAAAUGUAAUUUUAGGAUAAAAUCUUAAUGACUAAAAAUAUUCUUAACACUUUUGGAGAAAAAGUCUAUGAAUCCAGUAGAAAUUUUCAGAUCUUAUAAUAAGGAACUGAAUCAAAGAGAAUGGAAGAAAUAUAAGAGAAUUAAUUCAGGGAAGAACGAAAACAGAAAUUUCAUUAUGUGAAUGGCAAAACUGGAAGAAAAAUUGAGAUUGAGGUUUCAGGAUCCUUGGAAAUCCAACCAAUUUUUAACUAAUUGUUACUCACAGCUCAGUAUUCUUGUCUCUUUCUGACUUGAUUACUGUCAAAAUUUUAUUUGCUACAAAGAUUAUGUCGUUAGCAGUCUCCACUGGCACAGGCAGCUUCUGAACUGAGAGCUGAUAAAAUAACAGACUUUGGGGAAAACAUCAACAAAACCAAGCCCCCAAAUGAAAACAGAAACAUUACAUCAUCUUUGCUAAAUGUACCAGCUUCUAUAAAGACAAAAAUAUUUGUACUGACUAAUUAAAUAAUAAAAGUUUAAAAAUUAAGAAUAAGGCAAUACUAAUUGUAAUAUCAAUAUGAGUUGCUGUCGACAAUUAUUGUCUUUAUAAUUCACAGCUGUCACUGCAUUGUUACACUGUCCUAAAAUAUUAAACGAUUCCCUAUUGUUAAAUUCAAUUAAAUUCAUUUUAACAAAUUUUACAACAAAAAUUAAGUUCAAUUCAACAAAUAUUCAUUAGGAACCUAGUAUGAUUAGUAGAGCAUACUAGACUCUUAAAUUAACCUCAAACCAAGGGUUACUAAUGGGUUCAGUAGUUCGCUCUUUGGUAUUCCUUGAUCAUUUACCUUCUUGCUUUUUACUUUUGCCUAGAAUGCUCUAGUUCACCUAUUAAAUCCUUCCCCUUUGCUUAAAUGCUCAACUGCUCUCCCUUUUAAGGUGUCUUCCCACAUCCUGUCAGUUGAAAGAGCUCUCUACCUCCUCUCCAAUAGCACUUUGUACUCUUUUUAUGUGAUUAUCAUUUUUGAUUUUCUGAGUUAGUUACAUGUGUAUGUCAGCCCUCUGAUUAAAACAUAAAUUCUUUGAGGAUGGGGAUUAUGCAUUUUUCCCCCUAAAUUAGCCUUAGUAUCCAGUAUAUGAAUACUCAUUUAGCAUCUUUGCUGAAUGAAUGGAUGAAUUAUUUUUCUUUUAUUUGUAACAAUAUUCUGGACUCAUACUUCCAGUGUCAAGCUGGGUCUGUAGAACAUGGCUUCUACUUGUCUCCUCAGAGUUCUACCUGGUAAUUUUGAGGAGUUGUUUAUCCCCAUUAGUAACUAUAGCUAUAACCAUAACUUAUAUAGUUAUAUGUAAUCAUAUACAUAUAUAUAUAUACACAUAUUUAUACGUACAAGCUUACCUUAUUUUAUUGUGCUUUUCUUCAUUGCUCUUUGCAGAUUUUUUGUUUUUGCUUUUACAGAUUGAAGGUUUGUGGCAACCCUAGGUCAAGUAAGGCUAUUGGCUCCAUUUUUCUAACAGCAUGUGCUCACAACAUGUCUCUGUGUCACAUUUUGGUAAUUCUCGCAUUAUUUCAAACUUUUUCAUAAUAUCCAUUAUGGUGAUUUGUAAUCAGUGAUUUUUUUUUUAAUAAACAUUUAUUCUUUUUUAAAUUAAAGCUUUUUCUUUUCAUUUUUUUCCUUUAUUAAAGCUUUUUAUUUUUCAAAACA